AUGCAUGCUGGCGGCGUGCCUAACACAUGCAAGUCGCGCGGCAGCGAGGGGUGCUUGCACCCUGUCGGCGAGCGGCGAACGGCUGAGUAACGCGUAGGAAUUUGCCCCAAAGUGAGGAAUAACUGCCCGAAAGGGUAGCUAAUGCCGCAUAUGGUCUUCGGAUUAAAGGAUUUAUCCGCUUUGGGAGAAGCCUGCGUUGGAUUAGGUUGUUGGUAGGGUAAUGGCCUACCAAGCCGACGAUCCAUAGCUGGUCUGAGAGGAUGAUCAGCCAGACUGGAACUGAGACACGGUCCAGACUCCUACGGGAGGCAGCAGUGAGGAAUCUUCCACAAUGGGCGAAAGCCUGAUGGAGCAACGCCGCGUGAAGGAUGAAGGCCUUCGGGUUGUAAACUUCUUUUAUGAGUGAAGAAUAUGACGGUAACUCAUGAAUAAGCACCGGCUAACUACGUG
rnacentral:rRNA from 1 species